UAGGGAAUCUUCCACAAUGGACGCAAGUCUGAUGGAGCAACGCCGCGUGAGUGAAGAAGGUUUUCGGAUCGUAAAGCUCUGUUGUUGGUGAAGAAGGAUAGAGGCAGUAACUGGUCUUUAUUUGACGGUAAUCAACAAGAAAGUCACGGCUAACUACGUGCCAGCAGCCGCGGUAAUACGUAGGUGGCAAGCGUUGUCCGGAUUUAUUGGGCGUAAAGCGAGCGCAGGCGGAAUGAUAAGUCUGAUGUGAAAGCCCACGGCUCAACCGUGGAACUGCAUCGGAAACUGUCAUUCUUGAGUGCAGAAGAGGAGAGUGGAAUUCCAUGUGUAGCGGUGGAAUGCGUAGAUAUAUGGAAGAACACCAGUGGCGAAGGCGGCUCUCUGGUCUGCAACUGACGCUGAGGCUCGAAAGCAUGGGUAGCGAACAGG
rnacentral:rRNA from 1 species